GACGAACGCUGGCGGCGUGCCUAAUACAUGCAAGUUGAGCGCUGAAGGUUGGUACUUGUACCAACUGGAUGAGCAGCGAACGGGUGAGUAACGCGUGGUGAAUCUGCCUUUGAGCGGGGGACAACAUUUGGAAACGAAUGCUAAUACCGCAUAAAAACUUUAAACACAAGUUUUAAGAUUGAAAGAUGCAAUUGCAUCACUCAAAGAUGAUCCCGCGUUGUAUUAGCUAGUUGGUGAGGUAAAGGCUCACCAAGGCGAUGAUACAUAGCCGACCUGAGAGGGUGGUAGGCCACAUUGGGACGGAGACACGGCCCAAACUUCUGCGGGAGGCAGCAGUAGGGAAUCGUCGGCAAUGGACGAAAGUCUGACCGAGCAAGGCCGAGUGAGUGAAGAAGGUGUUCGGAUCGUAAAACUCGGUUGGUAGAGAAGAACGUUGGUGAGAGUGGAAAGCUCAUCAAGUGACGGUAACUACAGAGAAAGGGACGGCUAACUACGUG
rnacentral:rRNA from 1 species